rnacentral:rRNA from 1 species
UACGAAGGGGGGCUAGCGUUGCUCGGAUUGACUGGGCGUAAAGGGCGCGUAGGCGGUUCGUACAGUCAGACGUGAAAAUUCCUGGGCUCAACCUGGGGGGCUGCGUUUGAUACGUGCGGACUUGAGUGCGGAAGAGGGUCGUGGAAUUCCCAGUGUAGAGGUGAAAUUCGUAGAUAUUGGGAAGAACACCGGUGGCGAAGGCGGCGACCUGGUCCGAUACUGACGCUGAGGCGCGAAAGCGUGGGGAGCAAACAGG